AGCAUGAUUUGGUAGUGGCCGGAGUCGUGGCCGAGCCAGCCGCUCUGGAUCCAGAGGAACCCCAUGGCGGCGCCGCAGAGGGCGUGGAGGAAGGGGCUGUUUUGGACGAAAACGACGCCGUAGAGGGAGAGGGAGAAGAGGAGAGCAAUGGCGGUGAGGGAGAGGAAGACGUUGUGGCCCUUGUUUUCGAAGAGGCCGAUUUUGGUGAAGUCGUGGAGGAGUUUGCGGUAGUCCUUGGAGACCUCCGAAACGGCGUAGUUUUGGAGGUGGAGGCCGUUGUGGAAUUGGGCGAGGUGGGGCCAGGCGCGGGUGGGGUGGUAGGCGAGGAAUGCGUCGGUGGCGUCGCGGCCGGCGAGGUUGCGGAGGGGGAGGUCGCCGCCGGGGUGGGAUUUGAUCCAGCGCGAGACGUCGUAGAUUUUGCCGUGGAUGGAGAUCCAGAGGUCGCCGGAGGUGGUGUGGGUGGCCAGCUCGUCGGCGGUGAUGUAUUUCUGGCUCUCCGCCAUUGCUGGGGCGGCGCAAGAUUCGAUUUUGGGAGGAGGGUUUUAGAGAGAGAGAGAGAGAGAGGUGAGCUCUGGUGUGGUGUGAGGGAGCUUUUAGCUUUAUCUCUCUUCUUCUUCUCUCAAUCUGUUCUACGCCAUU
rnacentral:lncRNA from 1 species